rnacentral:RNase_P_RNA from 2 species
GGAGUCGGCCAGACAGUCGCUGCUGCAAGGCAGAGGAAAGUCCGGGCUCCACAGGGCAAGGUGCCAGGUAACGCCUGGGAGGCGCGAGCCUACGGAAAGUGCCACAGAAAAUAUACCGCCCGUCGUGUGACGGGUAAGGGUGAAAUGGUGCGGUAAGAGCGCACCGCGCCGGUGGCAACAUCGGUGGCAGGGCAAACCCCACCUGGAGCAAGACCGAAUAGGGGGACCAUGGCGUGGCCCGCGUUGUCCCCGGGUAGGUUGCUAGAGGCGUCCGGUGACGGGCGUCCCAGAGGAAUGACUGUCCACGACAGAACCCGGCUUAUCGGCCGACUCCCACU